rnacentral:rRNA from 1 species
AGAAUCAACGCUGGCGGCGUGCCUAACACAUGCAAGUCGAACGAGAAAGUGGAGCAAUCCAUGAGUAAAGUGGCGCACGGGUGAGUAACACGUGACUAACCUACCCUUGAGUGGGGAAUAACUUCGGGAAACCGAGGCUAAUACCGCAUAACACCUACGGGUCAAAGGAGCAAUUCGCUUAAGGAGGGGGUCGCGGCAGAUUAGUUAGUUGGCGGGGUAAUGGCCCACCAAGACGGUGAUCUGUAUCCGGCCUGAGAGGGCGCACGGACACACUGGAACUGAAACACGGUCCAGACUCCUACGGGAGGCAGCAGUGGGGAAUUUGCGCAAUGGGGGAAACCCUGACGCAGCAACGCCGCGUGGAGGAUGAAGUCCCUUGGGACGUAAACUCCUUUCGAUCGGGACGAUUAUGACGGUACCGGAAGAAGAACGCCCGGCUAACUUCGCGCCAGCAGCCGC